rnacentral:rRNA from 1 species
ACGAGAGCGAACGGUGCUUGCACUGGUCAAUCUAGUGGCGAACGGGUGAGUAACACGUGGGUAACCUGCCCAUCAGAGGGGGAUAACAUCCGGAAACGGAUGCUAAAACCGCAUAGGUCUUCGAGCCGCAUGGCUUGAAGAGGAAAAGAGGCGCAAGCUUCUGCUGAUGGAUGGACCCGCGGUGCAUUAGCUAGUUGGUGAGGUAACGGCUCACCAAGGCCGUGAUGCAUAGCCGACCUGAGAGGGUGAUCGGCCACAUUGGGACUGAGACACGGCCCAAACUCCUACGGGAGGCAGCAGUAGGGAAUCUUCCGCAAUGGACGCAAGUCUGACGGAGCAACGCCGCGUGAGUGAAGAAGGUUUUCGGAUCGUAAAACUCUGUUGUUAGAGAAGAACAAGUGCUAGAGUAACUGUUAGCGCCUUGACGGUAUCUAACCAGAAAGCCACGGCUAACUACGUGCCAGCAGCCGCGGUAAUACGUAGGUGGCAAGCGUUGUCCGGAUUUAUUGGGCGUAAAGCGAGCGCAGGCGGUUCCUUAAGUCUGAUGUGAAAGCCCCCGGCUCAACCGGGGAGGGUCAUUGGAAACUGGGGAACUUGAGUGCAGAAGAGGAGAGUGGAAUUCCAUGUGUAGCGGUGAAAUGCGUAGAUAUAUGGAGGAACACCAGUGGCGAAGGCGACUCUCUGGUCUGUAACUGACGCUGAGGCUCGAAAGCGUGGGUAGCAAAC